rnacentral:rRNA from 1 species
UACAGAGGGGGCAAGCGUUGUUCGGAAUUACUGGGCGUAAAGGGCGCGUAGGCGGCCUGUUAAGUCGAACGUGAAAUCCCCGGGCUCAACCCGGGAACUGCGUCCGAUACUGGCAGGCUUGAAUCCGGGAGAGGGAUGCGGAAUUCCAGGUGUAGCGGUGAAAUGCGUAGAUAUCUGGAGGAACACCGGUGGCGAAGGCGGCAUCCUGGACCGGCAUUGACGCUGAGGCGCGAAGGCUAGGGGAGCAAACGGG